UACAGAGGGUGCAAGCGUUGUUCGGAAUUACUGGGCGUAAAGCGCGUGUAGGCGGCGACGUAAGUCGGAUGUGAAAUCCCUCGGCUCAACCGAGGAAGUGCAUUCGAUACUGUGUUGCUUGAGUGUCGGAGGGGAUGGCGGAAUUCCCGGUGUAGAGGUGAAAUUCGUAGAUAUCGGGAGGAACACCUGUGGCGAAGGCGGCCAUCUGGACGACGACUGACGCUGAGACGCGAAAGCGUGGGUAGCAAACAGG
rnacentral:rRNA from 1 species